UACAGAGGUCUCGAGCGUUGUUCGGAUUCAUUGGGCGUAAAGGGUGCGUAGGUGGCGCCGUAAGUCGGGUGUGAAAUUUCGGAGCUUAACUCCGAAACUGCAUUCGAUACUGCGGUGCUUGAGGACUGGAGAGGAGACUGGAAUUCAUGGUGUAGCAGUGAAAUGCGUAGAUAUCGUAAGGAAGACCAGUGGCGAAGGCGAAUCUCUGGACAGUUACUGACACUGAGGCACGAAGGCCAGGGGAGCAAACGGG
rnacentral:rRNA from 1 species